AAUAUUGCGCAAUGGGGGAAACCCUGACGCAGCAACGCCGCGUGAGCGAUGAAGGCCUUCGGGUCUUAAAGCUCUGUCUUUGGGGAUGAAAAAAAUGACAGUACCCAAAGAGGAAACUCCGGCUAACAACGUGCCAGCAGCCGCGGUAAUACGUAGGGGGCAAGCGUUGUCCGGAUUUACUGGGCGUAAAGGGCGCGUAGGCGGUCUAAUAAGUCAGAUGUGAAAGUCCAGGGCUUAACCCUGGAAUUGCAUUUGAAACUGUAAGACUUGAGUGCAGGAGAGGAGAGCGGAAUUCCUAGUGUAGCGGUGAAAUGCGUAGAUAUUAGGAAGAGCACCAGUGGCGAAGGCGGCUCUCUGGACUGUAACUGACGCUGAGGCGCGAAAGCGUGGGUAGCAAAC
rnacentral:rRNA from 1 species